UGCUUUCUGUCUUGCCAUGUGAUACAGCAGCUUCCUCUUCACCAUCCACCGUGAUUGCAAGCUCCCUGAGGUCCUCACCUGAAGCAGAUGCCAGCAGCACACUUCCUGUACAGCCUGCAGAACUGGACUAGGUUCUGAGUCCUGCUGCCCUGGUCAUCUUUGGGAUUCUGCUCCCUGCAUGCAGACUACUGUUCCAGCCAUGGCUCAAAGGGUUCCAGGUACAGCUGGGGAUACCACUCCUGAGAGCACAAACUGCCCUGAGCUUGAUGUAGAAGUCUACCAUAUGAACCAGAGAGGGUAACUGAACGCAAAUAAAUGACUCCAAUAUCAAGCUAAAGACACGCCUUAAAGGAUGAGGAGGAGCAGAAAUCCCACCAGCAAGGCAAGAAAGAAGCUGCGCAUGAACAGUGUCUGUGAGACCAGAUAGGAUUCCUGCUUUACUGACAAGUAAACGAAGGCUCAACAAAGUGAAAUCUGAGAGAAUUCUAAUAAUUGUGAAACAUUUCCUUUGGUGAAAGUUGGUUCCACAUUUUGCCUCUGCUUUAGGCCCCGAAGGAAAAGAAGUUACAGGAGCCGAUCAGUCUUACACUCUUCCAUGAUCAUAGGCAAGAGGUCCCUGGAU